CAACUCUACAAGGUGCCAUUUGAGAGUGAAGGAACUGCGGUGCCAGUAUGUGCAGGUAAACUACUGGUGUGCGCUUAGUGAGUUUUACUGUACUUCUAAGAAAACAUUUACUGAACUUUAGAAUAAAAAUUAACUUUAUUUUGUUUCUGUGUUUCUUCGUAGAGAAUCAUGGAGUUGGAAGGACAUGAAACAACCCACAUUGUUGUUUUUGUGGACGAGGCUGGGUUCAAUCUGUCCAAAGGCCGGAGACGUGGACGCAAUCUCAUUUGACACCAAGCCACAACCGACACACCAGACCAGCGUGGGGCCAAUGUUACAAUGUGUGCUGCCAUUUCAGAGAAUGGUGUGAGCACACAUAUUCCACACACUGGCCCUAUAAUACCCAACUUCUCCUGGCCUUCCUAAACACACUUUACAGAGACCUGCUUCUAGAAGAAGAAAGAGGUUUAGUUAGACCACAUUUGCCCAAUUAUGUUAUUGUCUGGGAUCAUGUCAGCUUUCACCGAACCAGCGUUGUUAGGGACUGGUUUGCUGCACAUGAAAGGAUAACAGUGGAGUUCCUUCCACCAUACUCUCCAUUCCUAAAUCCAGUAGAAGAGUUUUUUUCAGCAUGGAGGUGGAAAGUAUAUGAUCAUAGACCACAAGAUCAGAUGUCUCUGUUGGACGCCAUGAAUGCUGCAUGUGAGGACAUCACAGCUGAUCAUUGCAUUGCAGGGGAUGGGUGCCGCAUUCAAGGAGAUUCUUCCCCCGGUGCAAGGCAAUGGAAAACAUCAGAUGUGAUGUUGAUGAAAAUCUUUGGCCUGACCAACAAGAGUGACAGGAUGUCCACCAAGAAUAAUUUUUUCUCAUGGAUGUUAUUUUGUAGUUAUUUGGUAUUUUUGUGUAUUUGUGGUAACAUAAGAAAGAUGAAAUGUACAGUAAUUGGACAAGCAAGAUUUCACUUUGCAUGUAAUACAUUCGUACAAAAAUAAAUGUUCUGUAUAAAUACAAAUGUUCAUGUACUUUUUUUUCCUAUGUACUAUUGACUCUUCUCAACAAAUAUCAG
rnacentral:lncRNA from 1 species